rnacentral:misc_RNA from 1 species
CCAAUAGCGUAUAUUAAAGUUGUUGUGGUUAAAAAGCUCGUAGUUGAACCUUGGGCCUGGCUGGCCGGUCCGCCUCACCGCGUGUACUGGUCCGGCCGGGCCUUUCCCUCUGUGGAACCUCAUGCCCUUCACUGGGUGUGGCGGGGAAACAGGACUUUUACUUUGAAAAAAUUAGAGUGCUCCAGGCAGGCCUAUGCUCGAAUACAUUAGCAUGGAAUAAUAAAAUAGGACGUGUGGUUCUAUUUUGUUGGUUUCUAGGACCGCCGUAAUGAUUAAUAGGGACAGUCGGGGGCAUCAGUAUUCAAUUGUCAGAGGUGAAAUUCUUGGAUUUAUUGAAGACUAACUACUGCGAAAGCAUUUGCCAAGGAUGUUUUCAUUAAUCAGGAACGAAAGUUAGGGGAUCGAAGACGAUCAGAUACCGUCGUAGUCUUAACCAUAAACUAUGCCGACUAGGGAUCGGACGAUGUUAUUUUUUGACGCGUUCGGCACCUUACGAGAAACCAAAGUGUUUGGGUC